AGAGUUUGAUCCUGGCUCAGGACGAACGCUGGCGGCGUGCCUAACACAUGCAAGUCGAGGGGCAGCAUAAUGGAUAGCAAUAUCUAUGGUGGCGACCGGCGCACGGGUGCGUAACGCGUAUGCAACCUACCUUUAACAGGGGGAUAACACUGAGAAAUUGGUACUAAUACCCCAUAAUAUCAUAGAAGGCAUCUUUUAUGGUUGAAAAUUCCGAUGGUUAGAGAUGGGCAUGCGUUGUAUUAG
rnacentral:rRNA from 1 species